rnacentral:rRNA from 1 species
UACGUAGGGGGCAAGCGUUGUCCGGAUUUAUUGGGCGUAAAGAGCGUGUAGGCGGCCAGGUAGGUCCGUUGUGAAAACUCGAGGCUCAACCUCGAGACGCCGAUGGAAACCAUCUGGCUAGAGUCCGGAAGAGGAGAGUGGAAUUCCCGGUGUAGCGGUGAAAUGCGUAGAUAUCUGGAGGAACACCGGUGGCGAAGGCGGCGUUCUGGACUGCAACUGACACUGAAAAACGAAAGCCAGGGGAGCAAACGGG